rnacentral:rRNA from 1 species
UACGGAGGGGGCUAGCGUUGUUCGGAAUUACUGGGCGUAAAGCGCGCGUAGGCGGAUCUGCAAGUCGGGGGUGAAAUCCCGAGGCUCAACCUCGGAACUGCCUUCGAUACUGCGGGUCUCGAGUCCGGGAGAGGUGAGUGGAAUUCCUAGUGUAGAGGUGAAAUUCGUAGAUAUUAGGAAGAACACCAGCGGUGUAGACGGCUUUCUGGACCAUUGCUGAC